rnacentral:lncRNA from 1 species
GUCGUAGUAGGUGUUGUAGUAGGUGUUGUAGUUGUCGUAGUAGGCACUGAAGUUGUGGUUGUCGUAGCAGCUUCAGUUGUAGUUGUCGUAGCAGGUGCUGCAGUUGUGGUUAUCGUAGGAGCUUCAGUUGUAGUUGUUGAAGUAGGUGGUGUAGUUGUGGUGGUAGGAGCUACAGUUGUACUUGGAGCUACAGUUGUAUUGAUCAUAGGAGCUACAGUUCUUGUUAUGGGUGCUGCUGUUGUAAUGGCCAUAGUAGGUGUUGUGGUUGUCAUAGGGGCUUCAGUUGUAGUUAUUGUAGCAGUAUCAGUUGCGGUUGUCGUAGGAGCUGUGUUUGUAAUGGUCGUCGUGGGAGCUGCGUUUGUAAUGGUCGUCGUGGGUGCUUCUGUUGUAAUGGUCGUGGGAUCUAAAGUUGUAGUAGGAGCUGCAGAUGUGGUUGUCGUAGGAGCUGCAUUUGUAGUUGUUGUAGUAGGUGCUGCUGUUGUAGUGGUUGUAGGAGCUACAGAUGUUGUAGUUGGAGCUGCAGUUGUGGUUGUCGUAGGAGCUUCAGUUGUCGUUGUUGUAGGAACUGCUGAUGUAGUUGUUGUAAGAGCUGCAGUGGUUGUUGAAGUAGGUGCUGCAGUUGUAGUGGUCAUAGGAGCUACAGAUGAUGUCGUAGGAGCUUCAGUUGUGGUUGUCGUAGUAGGUGUCGUAGUAGGUGUUGUAGUUGUCGUAGUAGGCGCUGAAGUUGUGGUUGUCAUAGCAGCUUCAGUUGUAGUUUUUGUAGCAGGUGCUGCAGUUGUGGUUAUCGUAGGAGCUUCAGUUGUAGUUGUUGAAGUAGG